rnacentral:rRNA from 1 species
GGGGACUUCGGUCCGCCGGCGAGUGGCGAACGGGUGAGUAAAGUAUCGGAACGUACCUUUCAGUGGGGGAUAACGUAGCGAAAGUUACGCUAAUACCACAUAUUCUGUGAGCAGGAAAGCAGGGGAUCGCAAGACCUUGCGCUGAUUGAGCGGCCGAUAUCAGAUUAGCUAGUUGGUGGGGUAAAGGCCUACCAAGGCGACGAUCUGUAGCGGGUCUGAGAGGAUGAUCCGCCACACUGGAACUGAGACACGGUCCAGACUCCUACGGGAGGCAGCAGUGGGGAAUUUUGGACAAUGGGGGCAACCCUGAUCCAGCCAUGCCGCGUGAGUGAAGAAGGCCUUCGGGUUGUAAAGCUCUUUCGGCCGGGAAGAAAUCGCACAGGCUAAUACCCUGUGUGGAUGACGGUACCGGAAUAAGAAGCACCGGCUAACUACGUGCCAGCAGCCGCGGUAAUACGUAGGGUGCGAGCGUUAAUCGGAAUUACUGGGCGUAAAGCGUGCGCAGGCGGUUUCGUAAGACAGAGGUGAAAUCCCCGGGCUCAACCUGGGAACUGCCUUUGUGACUGCGAGGCUAGAGUAC